AUGGCAAUACCCUCCCAGCUGCUGCCAUAUCUCCUUGCAGCAGCAGCGGCGUUCUUGAUCUUGCCUGCGAUUGCGGAACAACGAGGACUAGAAGAGCAGCAGCAGCAGCAGCAGGCGGUAGUGGCACGUCCGCGCUGCCAGGACAUGUGCGGCAACAUCAGCAUUCCCUUCCCCUUCGGCAUGGGGAAGCCCAGGUGCUUCCUUCCUGGCUUCGAGGUCAUCUGCAACACCUCCUCGUCCGGUCGCCCCCGCCUGUUCCUUGCGUACAACGAGAGCGGGCCAGUCCAGGUGGUGAGUGCUCUGAACCACAGGUUCACCGCCCGCAACGUCACUGCUUCCUUUGUGAUGAAGAACGCCGUGGAACUCAUGGACAUAUCAGUUGCUCACAACGAGGCCCGGGCAUACAGGGCGGUCAGCUCCGCCUGCAGCACAAAUAGUACACAUUUCCGUGCCAAGUUCCAAUACACAAACUUGGGUGACGAGGGCCCGUUCCUCCUGUCGGCGAUGAGAAAUGUUCUCAUCGGUGUCGGCUCCAACGUCGAGUCCAUGAUGAUGACCUCAACCGGGGAGACGGGGAAUGAGAUGAAAGCGUACAUGCCGUCCUGCCUUUCCAACCUCAUGGGGAAGCUCAAGUACGCGACAGACGGUAACGGUACAUGCUCCGGGUUGGGAUGCUGUCAAGCUGCCUUGCCCCUGAAUGUGACUGAGUUUGGAGUCUCGUUCAUGCCCCGGCUCAACCUACUGUGGCAAACCAAUCCGUGCUUCUAUGGCAUGCUGGUGGAGAAAUCCUGGUACAACUUCUCUGUGCACGACUUGUAUGGCCGCGAGCUGUUAUACCCCAGGGGUGUACCCGUUGUGCUGGAGUUCGCCAUCAGGAACCUUGGUUCAUGUCCACCGGAAGGACAGCAGAAACCUCAGGGCUAUGCGUGCAUCAGCGGCAACAGCACUUGUGUCAACACCACCAGAGGCGAUGACUAUGUCUGCAAGUGCUUGGAGCAUUACGAUGGCAACCCAUACAUCAUUGGUGGAUGCCUUGACAUAGAUGAAUGCAAGCUCCCUGAUUCGUAUCCUUGCUGGAAUGGCGGGAUCUGCAGCAACAGGCUGGAAGGCUAUGACUGUCCAUGCAAAUCUGGAAUGAAUGGCAAAACCGGACACUGCGUGGAAAAUUUCCCUCUGCCAGCAAAGGUGAUUGUGGGCCUUGCUGCUUGUAUUGUUGUACUUGUCGUCAUGGUUAUGGCCCGUCAACUCCUGACACUCAAGAGGUUCUAUGAACAAAAUGGUGGACCAGUACUAAAAGGUGUAAAGAACAUAAAGAUAUAUAGAAGGAAAGAAAUGAAACAAAUUACAAAUAACUACAAUCGUGUCAUUGGAGAAGGAAACUUCGGGAAGGUUUAUAUGGGGACUCUAGAAAAUAAACAACAAGUGGCUAUAAAGAGGUCCAUCAAAGUUGACAAGAAUAUGAAGGCAGAAUUCACUGGCGAAGUUAUAGUACAAUCUGAGAUGAGACACAAGAACAUUGCAAGGCUCCUAGGUUGUUGCUUAGAGCUGGAUGUUCCAAUGUUGGUAUACGAAUAUGUAUCAAGAGGGAGUCUAUAUGAUGCUCUAUUUGGAUUGAGGCGUGUACAUAUCAUACCGGUAGAUAUGCGCCUACAAAUUGCUGUUGGGUCAGCUGAAGGACUAACAUACAUGCAUUCAGCAGGGGAGAGUACAAUCCGUCAUGGUGAUGUUAAAUCUGCCAAUAUUCUUCUUGAUGAAAAUUUCUGCCCUAAAGUCUCAGACUUUGGUACCUCGAGGUUGCUCGCAGGAGGAAAGUCCGAGAAGACUGAACGUGUCGUCGGGGACAUGAGUUACAUAGAUCCGAUAUAUAUGGACCAGGGGAUUGUUACACAGAAGAGUGAUGUCUACAGCUUUGGGGUUGUUCUUAUAGAGCUUAUCACGAGGAGGCCCGCAACAUACUCUAACAAGAGGAACUAUGUUACAAGCUUUGUCGAAGCGUAUCUAGACAAAAGAGUAAGAAACUUGAUUGACAAUGAUAUCACAAGUGAGGUGGAUAUUAAACUCUUGGAAAUGGUCAGUGGAGUUGCCAUGGAGUGUGUAAAACUUAAUCCCGAAGAACGCCUAGAUAUGAAACAAGUAGAGCAUCGUCUCCUCGAAAUUAUUGGUCAAGGUGUGCAGAAUGGACAAGGGAGAAACUACCAGGCAGAUCUCGGUCCUGCGCCGGAUGAUGUUGCUUUGCUCAAGUCUUGGGGAGAAUGA
rnacentral:rRNA from 1 species